rnacentral:snRNA from 1 species
GGAUUGAUCCGGAUGGAGACAUCUGUCAUCCCAGCAUUGAUUUGGUUGAUCUAGCUGGCUAGGUUUCCCUUUCAUCCUUCACUGCUCCAUGUGCAUCCCUCCCAAAGCUGUGAGCUUGGUCAGAAGACGACCACCCUUGAUAGAGGGAGACUGUUUUCUCCUUCAAGGGUAUGCUGUGCUCCUCUGCUAGAACCUCCACACAAGCAUUCAGAAGAAACUCCACCCAUAGUUUUGCAGAAGAAGAAAUCAAAAUUUAGAGGUUAAACAACCUACCUAAGGU